AUUGAACGCUGGCGGCAUGCCUUACACAUGCAAGUCGAACGGCAGCACGGGAGCAAUCCUGGUGGCGAGUGGCGAACGGGUGAGUAAAGUAUCGGAACGUGCCCAGUCGUGGGGGAUAACGUAGCGAAAGUUACGCUAAUACCGCAUACGAUCUACGGAUGAAAGCGGGGGAUCGCAAGACCUCGCGCGAUUGGAGCGGCUGAUAUCAGAUUAGGUAGUUGGUGGGGUAAAGGCUCACCAAGCCGACGAUCUGUAGCUGGUCUGAGAGGACGACCAGCCACACUGGGACUGAGACACGGCCCAGCCUCCUACGGGAGGCAGCAGUGGGGAAUUUUGGACAAUGGGCGCAAGCCUGAUCCAGCCAUGCCGCGUGCAGGAUGAAGGCCUCCGGGUUGUAAACUGCUUUUGUACGGAACGAAAAGGUUUGGCCUAAUAAGCUGGACCCAUGACGGUACCGUAAGAAUAAGCACCGGCUAACUACGUGCCAGCCGCCGCGGUAA
rnacentral:rRNA from 1 species